GACGAACGCUGGCGGCGUGCUUAACACAUGCAAGUCGAACGGAAAGGCCCUGCUUUUGUGGGGUGCUCGAUUGGCGAACGGGUGAGUAACACGUGAGUAACCUGCCCUUGACUGUGGGAUAACUUCAGGAAACUGGGGCUAAUACCGGAUAGGAGCUCCUGCUGCAUGGUGGGGGUUGGAAAGUUUCGGCGGUUGGGGAUGGACUCGCGGCUUAUCCGCUUGUUGGUGGGGUAGUGGCUUACCAAGGCUUUGACGGGUAGCCGGCCUGAGAGGGUGACCGGCCACCAUGGGACUGCGAUACGGCCCAGACUCCUACGGGACGCAGCAGUGGGGAAUAUUGCGGAAUGGGCGGAAGCCUGAUGCAGCAACGCCGCGUGCGGGAUGCCGGCCUUCGGGUUGUAAACCGCUUUCGCCUGUGAUGAAGCGUGAGUGACGGUAAUGGGUAAAGAAGCACCGGCUAACUACGUG
rnacentral:rRNA from 1 species